GUCCUAGUAGCUCAAAUGGCAAGAGCAAUGCAUGAUAAAGGCAAAGGUUCCAGGUUCGAAUCCUGGCUAGGACG